rnacentral:lncRNA from 1 species
UUGAAACAAACAUGGAUGCAUCAUUCUGUGUACAUUCUGUUACAGUCCACUUAGGAUCACGUCAGAGUGUGACUCAUCUGCUGUGCCACAUUCAGGAUGUACUUUCCUCCUGGACUCUUUAAAUAUAGUUGAUAAAUCUGUGCAGAAAGGAUUUUGCAAAGAGCAUUUAUCAAACAAAUCGAAAACGAAUGCAUCAAAGACCCCUGAAGUUCUGCAGACUGUGAGUCAUUCCCAAAAGUUUCCACAAGAUGACACUCUUUCUCCAAAAUUAGACUCACUAACUUGUGCGGAGCUUUUGAAGAAAAAUGUACCUACAUCCAAAGCCUUACACAGUCUACGAAUGAAGAUCCAGCAACAGAAACUGAGGAGAGAGAUUCAAACUCCAGCACCUGGGAAGAAAGAUCGGCAACAUCUUACCAGAAAAAUGUGCAGGGUGACAAACAAAGAUCAGAGCAAGUGGUCAAGCAAGAAGGCUCCGGAACAAUGUGUUGUUUUGAAUGCUCAAACAAAUGGAGACCUAAGUUCAAACCAAAUCAAAAAGGAUGAGAAUUCAUCUAAGGAGCAUCCCAGCCCCUUGAGAUCUCAAGCUCAAGUCUUAUAUUCUUCAGCAUCUGGAAAGACAUUCCUAAGCCGUGCAGCUUCUUCAUACCCGGUCAAAGCAGUUCUGUUGGCACACAGAAAUCAUUACUCACAAAAUUCUACCUUAAAAGUGUUUGCUAAAAACUACGACAUUACAAAGACAACAAAACCACUAGUAGCAGGUAAAGAAAAUGAAGGCCAAACUAAAUCAAACGGGCAACCUAGAAAUAACAUCCGAGAGGUGCGUGAAUAUAUGCAUCACCAGGCCGUUGAGAGAAGGAGAAAGGUGCUGCAAAUGAGGAAAGAAGCACAGCGAGAGGACGAGAGGAGGCAAAGGAAUAUGCAUGAAGUAGUUAAAAAACAAAGGCAAGCGCUCCACAGGGCCAAGAGAGAACAGCAACAGGAGUACAAGGUAUGUAAAUGAAUGUUGUCUGGAAAAAGCAAA